rnacentral:pre_miRNA from 1 species
GAUAUACUCCCUCCGUUCGGAAUUACUUGUCUCGGAAAUGGAUGUAUCUAGAACUAAAAUACAUCUAGAUACAUCCAUUUCUACGACAACUAAUUCCGAACGGAGGGAGUAGUUA